UGCCUCUACUCCAAUUCCAUGUGCUUUGCAGGGCUCAGCCCUCACACCUUUCCUCGUAGAAGAGAGAAUAAUUAAUGUCGUGACUCCUUGGCGUGGUAGCUAGAGCCCUGCUGUCAUCAGCAGUGCCCCAAACGCAGCAGGAACACGUACGGUAUUUCAAAGCCCAGGCAGGCAGAGAAGCGGGAAGGAACUGGUGGCGUGAUUUGACUUGCGGGAGCUCCCCGGCGCAGCCAGUAGGAGGCCCAAGCUAGGCGAAGAGAGGGUCGUGGGGAAGCGGGGCGCUCCCAGGACUCGUCACUGGGUUGGAGCUGGCCCGCUUGUGUGGCUCCAGUUCCAGGAAGGCCGGGUGGCGUGGGGCUGUCUUUUAAGCGGCCGUUUGGAAGAAGAACCUCUGGCGGAGAGGUGCUGAGGCAGGCUGGACUGUGAUCCUGCACGACCGGCGGCCUAAGGGGAGGUAAUUGGGGACCGCGAGCUGACACUGCGGAAAAGAAAAUAUCGGUGUGGAAAUGGAUGUGGACGCAGUGCUGCUGCCUGAGAUUAGCAGGAAGCAAUUCUUUUCCCAUUUGGAGAGACCCCAGUGAGACCUGAUCAACUAGCAACAUGCGGAAGUCACACCAUUAAAUCUUCCAGUUUGCUAGCAGCAAAUCAAUGAACUCUGAUAGCUGCUGCCCUAAGCUAGCAUCCAGGGAACUGUGGACAAGCUAUUUGAUACCUGAAUUUUAGUGAAGGAAAGUUAAAUUUUUUCUUAAAGCAGGGCGGGAGUGGGGUUGUGUGGGGAAGAUUGUAUUAAGCAGUGAGAGAAGACAGUUGGAGUUUUGUAGAAAGAGAACUGGUUGUUUUAAAUUGUAUCUUAAAUUUAUUGUAGAGCUAUUGGUAAUCAGUGUUUUGUUUUUGUGUGUUUAUAUCAACCAAUUAAUAAGAAAGGCUUUUAUUUUUAUUUCAUUAAUUGUAGCUGAACUUUAUUUUUUAUUAUAAAUAUAAGGCAUUAUUCUAGGGCCUGGCAAACAUUGGCAGCCCCUUUUUUUUCUGAGCAAGAUUAUACCUUGGUAUGUUUUCACCACCAGAAGAUGAAAAUUUGAGAACAGUGAGAGACAGAUGCUUGCCUGAGGAGUUUUAUUUUCCCUUUAAUCCUUACCAAAUAUACAGAUAUUACCUAUAUUGCCUUGAUCUGCUGUCUGAAGGUGGGUUUCUUCGAUUGUUUGAAGAAUUUUGGGCACUAGAGGUGCUUACUUUGUGAUGGGAGCAAAUAACAAGGUGUUGCCCAUGACAUGGUCAAGCCUCAUCUUCAAUUAGCCACCUAUCUUGGACAUGUUUUCAUAGAGGUAUAUCUCAUCCCUUUUAAUAACUGCAGAAUCUUGGACAUUUAGAGGUCUCCAAAUAUUGGUUGUCAUUUAUGGUGAUUCUUGUUUUUGUUAUUAUGAUAAUGUUGCAAUAAAUAUCCUAGCAACCUAUUUUUGCUUACA